GGACGAGAAGACCCUAUAGAGCUUAACAUCUAAAUUAUUAGUAUUUUUUUAAGAUGGUUUUUUUAUAUUUAAUGGUAAUGUUUUGUUGGGGUGACAUGAAGAAUUAAUAAACUCUUUAUUAUAAAAUCAUUGAUUUAUGUUUAUUUUGAUCCAUAAUUUAUGAUCAUAAGAUCAAGUUACCUUAGGGAUAACAGCGUAAUUGUUUUUUAGAGCCUCAUAUUGACAACAGCAGAUUGCGACCUCGAUGUUGGAUUA
rnacentral:rRNA from 1 species